rnacentral:rRNA from 1 species
CCUACGGGUGGCAGCAGUGAGGAAUAUUGGUCAAUGGGCGCGAGCCUGAACCAGCCAAGUAGCGUGAGGGAGGACGGUCCUGCGUGUCGUAAACUUCUUUUAUCAGGGAACAAAGUGAGGCACGCGUGCCCGUAUGUGUGUACUUUAUGAAUAAGCAUCGGCUAACUCCGUGUCAGCAGCCGCGGUGAUACGGAGGAUGCGAGCGUUAUCCGGAUUUAUUGGGGUUAAAGGGUGCGUAGGCGGGCUGUUAAGUCAGUGGUGAAAGUUUGGGGGUCAACCGUCAGAUUGCAGUUGAUACUGGCAGUCUUGAGUUCGAGUGAGGUAGGCGGAAUGCGCGGUGUAGCGGUGAAAUGCUUAGAUAUCGCGAAGAACUCCGAUUGCGAAGGCAGCAUACC